UUGAAAAGAACUUUGAAGAGAGAGUUCAAGAGUACGUGAAACCGUUCAGGGGUAAACCUAAGAAACCCAAAAGAUCGAACGGGGAGAUUCAUCGUCAGCGACGCUGGCUUCGCGUCGGUGGGCGAUGUCCCGCGGGGCCUCGCGGCUCGCGCGCGGACACGCUGCCGUGCGUCGAUGUCCGGCGUUCGUCGUCGUGCACUUCUCCCCUAGUAGAACGUCGCGACCCGCUGGGUGUCGGUCUACGGUCCGGGUGCGGUGACUGACGCGCCGCCGGUAAAACGGCGCGCGUCAAACCCCCGGUCGCCCGGCCGGCUGCCCGGCGGUACACGCAAGGUAUCAGGCCGCAGCUCUCACACACCCCGUGUGUGUGACGAGUGUGCGUCGAGGCCGUCGCAAGCGCGCGCCACGGUACACGGAGGCUAACGGACCUAGUGCCGUCACCGGUCCUGGCCCGCUGUUGGUCGCACGGUUAACCUUCGACAGGCCUGCUAACGUCCCCCGGGGUUUACCCAAUGGGGGGACCGAUACCGGUCGGCGACGCUACUGCUUUGGGUACUCUUAGGACCCGUCUUGAAACACGGACCAAGGAGUCUAACAUGUACGCGAGUCAUUGGGACUAGCGACACCUAAAGGCGUAAUGAAAGUGAAGGUCGGCCCUGGUUGUCGACCGAGGGAGGAUGGGCCGCGUCGCGAUGCGGCUCCGCACUCCCGGGGCGUCUCGUUCUCAUCGCGAGAAGAGGCGCACCUAGAGCGUACACGUUGGGACCCGAAAGAUGGUGAACUAUGCCUGGUCAGGACGAAGUCAGGGGAAACCCUGAUGGAGGUCCGUAGCGAUUCUGACGUGCAAAUCGAUCGUCGGAACUGGGUAUAGGGGCGAAAGACUAAUCGAACCAUCUAGUAGCUGGUUCCCUCCGAAGUUUCCCUCAGGAUAGCUGGCACUCGGCCGUUCCGCACGGAACGCGCGCGAGUCUCAUCUGGUAAAGCGAAUGAUUAGAGGCCUUGGGGCCGAAACGACCUCAACCUAUUCUCAAACUUUAAAUGGGUGAGAUCUCUGGCUUUCUUGAACUAUGAAGCCACGAGCAUCUCGGAUCAGAGUGCCAAGUGGGCCAUUUUUGGUAAGCAGAACUGGCGCUGUGGGAUGAACCAAACGCAGAGUUAAGGCGCCCAACUCGACGCUCAUGGGACACCAUGAAAGGCGUUGGUUGCUUAAGACAGCAGGACGGUGGCCAUGGAAGUCGGAAUCCGCUAAGGAGUGUGUAACAACUCACCUGCCGAAGCAACUAGCCCUGAAAAUGGAUGGCGCUGAAGCGUCGAGCCUAUACUCUGCCGUCAGCGGCAAGUGGGGCGGCCGUGCGCGCCACCAGGCGCGUACGCGCCGCCACGAGGCCCUGACGAGUAGGAGGGUCGCGGCGGUGUGCGCAGAAGGGUCU
rnacentral:rRNA from 1 species